AGGCCUUGUGGUGCUGCUGCUCUGUGGGGGAGUUGGGGCAGGUGCUGCUGUCAUGAGGUCCCGUGCACUUUGUCAUCCCAGGACAAAACCCAGAAUUUUCCUUGAAGUGCUUAUGGACAGCAGGAUUUUCUGUUUGUGGAUAAACACAAGAAGCAACAAGCCUGUGGUUCUGAAUGGCCUAGGAACUCUUCUUCCCAGAGAUAGGAAAACCUUGACAGUGUUCAGGAGCUCAGACAGAAUGGGUUUGCUCUACCUCUGGGCUGGAGGAAACUUCUUUUCGUUGCCCUGGAAACAUGGAGAUGGCAGAUCCGUCGUUCAUUGGCAAGUGGGAGAGGAUGAGAGAAAAGCAGAUGACAGAGAAGCACGUGGAAACAAGAGAGUACAAGUGGUACCCUGGGGUGCCUUGCAGCAGACUUCUACGCCCAUUCUCUCCCUGAUAGCUUCAAAGAUGCUCUGGAAUAAUAAUGCACAAAUAUACGACGUGGUCGUAAGGACUGUGUUCUGACUGUAUUCUGACCCUCCUUUACACCCGUGUGCAUCAGGAGCAGCACAGCAAACAGGCAGCAGCAACAGGCAUUGCAACAAACAGGCGGCAGCGUCAGGCAGCCCUGGCCAGGUCCCCGGUGUUGGUCUGGCACGAACCUGGGAGCUGCUUCAGGUUUACACCAAGGUUUCACCAAAGCCCCAUCAUUGGCGAAGGUCUGACCACAGUGACCUCCUGCACACCUCACACCACUAAAUCUCAGUGCUCCGAGAAGAACCUGAAGGCAUGUGAGAUGUUCAGCUCUCUGCUGUCUUUCAGUGUGCAGACUCACCUUUUCACCCAAGGAAGGAACUGAUGUCACCACCUGGAGAUCUGCAACAUCUCUGGGAGGAUCUGCGUGCCUGUGAUCACAGCAGAGUGCGACUGCAGCAGCCAGUGGCUUCCCAGGAAGAAGAGGGCUUUGGGAUGGGUGGUACCUGGAUUUACUUUCCACAGGACUGCACAGAAACAGGACCUGACCUUAACCGAGAGACAAGCCAGGACCUGGAGCAGCCCCAGCCGCGUGACACAGGCACAGACAUGCCAGCAGCCACCUCCUCACCCUGCCCUGAUGUCCCUGGAAACAGGUGUGAUGGAAAUACCAUGGAAACGUGAGACAAGUGGAGCCAUCAGUUCACAGCCUCUCCAGCAGCAGUUUCAUCAGGGAGAGCAGAGCUGACAUCACAUGGGCACCUCCCUCUCCUCCCUCCUUCAUGUCGAGCCCAAAGACAGCCCCACGCUGCAGCCUAAGGGGCACUUUUCAUCAGGACUGGAGUGGGAAUUGUGUCCACAACUGUCAGCACCAACAGCCCUCCCAAAGUAAUCCCAACUUGGGCAGAAAGGGGCAGAUUAAAUUGCCCGAGCUAAGCUGCUUGCAUCUGGAGACACCCAGUAGGGUGUUGCUUCCCUCUCCCCAGCCCUUACGCUUCAGCAGUGCCACUUGGCUCAGAUAAUUUACUUUUAAUAGUCUGGUUACAAAUGAGAUUGCAAAGGAAGCACGUGAUUCUGAACUGGGAUUUCUGAGUCACAUUCUCAUUUCCCCCUAGUGCCUCCUAGGCCUCUAAUAAACUACAAAGAGACAUUAAGAAAACAAUAAGAACUCCUUAUCUACUGAGACUGGGGAGCAGGAACAGUGAGCCGGCAAUAAUGGAUUCUGCGUAUCUGCAGUACGUUCCUGUGGCAGCAACUGAACGAGGGGAAUGGGAAGUUCGAGUGCUCAGGACAUGGACUGCCCAGAUCAGUUGGCCAGCAGUGUGUAGACAGCAGGUUUCUGCAGCGACCCACAAAAUGUGUUCUCCCUGCUUGACCCAUCCCACUGCGUUUCUGACUGCACUUGGACAUGGUGAAGAUUGGUAGCAUUGAGCUCAGAUCCCAGUCAAGAAAUUUGAAAUUGGAUUUGAGGGAAAGAAAACAAAAACAAAAUGCAAUCAACAGGGACAGGGAAGAAAAGAGUUGCUGAAGAGUGUGAGCCUCCAGAAGCUGGAAUAGGAAAGAACAGAACCAUUCAAGCAUCCCCUGGUAUGGUGUUCCUUCCUCAAGUCCCUGCAAUUGGUCUGGUCCUGCGUCUCACUAAGCACACCCUUCUUGUGCCAUCUCUCAGGUCGUACUAAAUAACGUCGUGUUCAGAGUCCCUUCUGAACAUCUCCCUGAGUGGUACUGAGGGAUCCAUUGCCACCAUGGCCAAACCUGAUUUCUGACAGCUCCAUGUUCACAAUGAAUCUCACGUCCAUGCUGAAAUAGAAUGUGGAAAGGUCCACAGCACAUUAUGGAGCAUAAGCAUGUGUGGUCCAUCCGCUGACUCCCUCUGAAUCCUGUCCUACAACAACAAAUAUAUGUGCUCCUGCCAUUAAAAACAAGGUGAAAACGAGGAGCUGUGCAAAGUUAAUCAGAGAGCUGAAAUGAGAUGUUGGAGAAAGGGGCUGUGGGUGACGUGGGGUUUGCAGUCAGCUGAGCGAUGUGAAAUCUCUUGUAUCUGCCUGAGCUCUGAAAGGAAAUGCUUUAUUAAAUCUUCUUUGUGUGAGAUUUCAAGCUGCCUCUGGACUGGAAAAUAGGACCAUUCCGUGUGGCAUCUAAUCAGAACUGAAGUAUUUAGUGCAGGCUUUUCUGCAGAGCAGACUGAUCAGCAUAGACAAGUAACUCAGAAGUCUCAGCAUUCAAAAAGCUGAAUUAGACACAGUACAUCUGUGGUCUGCUGUGCACCUCUCCUACACAGUAUCCCCCAAAAUGCUUCACAGAAGGAACCAUGCAACAAGCCAGGCGUUGGGAAGGCAGCACAACAGGACAUAAAUGCACACCACUGAAUCCUAACCAGCCAGAAGGUCUCAGCUCCACUAUCUGCAUUUGCAUUCCCACGGACACGUAGGAGUUGCCAUGACUGAAAAGAUUCACUGAGUUUCCUUUCCACUGCCUGUCCUGGAAGCCAUUGGUGUCAUUGCUUCAUGCUGAGACAUCACUGUGUUAUGGGAAGCUGCAGCCUCUGACCAUCUAUGUCCAGCACUCAUGGGGCUUUGCUGUAAGCAGGUGGGUAGCUCACAGCUCUGCCCACCACAAACACUUGCAGAAAGUAAACACUAAAAAGAAAAAAGAAAAACAAGAGCCAGGCACCACAGUCAGAGGUGAGGACAAGGGAGGGGCUCCUGGAGCACCACCCUGUGUCACACAAGCUCCCUUUUGCACGUCUUCUCUCUCCGUCUGUGUUUGGCCACGUUUUCAGGAAAAUGAGACCUGAUCAGAGGCAGGAGAGGAAAUAUCAACCGGACUGCCUCCUCCUCAACCUCCCUUACUUCGCAUUUUAGCCUACCUGGAGCUGAGGAGGCUUAAAUCUCACUCUGCCUGCUGGAAAUCUCAGGGUUUGAGCUCCUGAUCUGCUUUCUGCAAACUCCAAUGGGAAAGCGUCCCAUGGACUGAGAUGCACAGAGCAUUCCCCUUCCCUUGCACCGCCCCUGCUGCAGAUGAACUCCUUGCCUACCUUUUGUUGCUGACAAGAAGCAGGACUGAGCCGUUCUGGAUAUUGGCUGCUUUCAAAGUCUCAUGCUCUUCAAGCUGCCUGGAGUUGUAAUAAAAUGUUUUCUUCCAGGAAGUGACGCCCUCCCGUACUAGAUCUCUGCCUAAUUGAAGUAUUGCUCGUAUCCUCCUCUGACACGUGAGCAGAAAUAGCAUCACGGGGCUGCAGGCUCACCAUGCAGAAAGGCGACAGCAGAGGCCUCGGGAGCAAGCACUGCUUCAGUAGAUGCAGUGAUACCUCCAAAAGGAAGGAAGCGAUGCCCGCCCCAGGAGCUGGCUGUAAUUGGACGAUCCCGCAAGGCAGACUCUGGCAGUCACAAGAUGAUACUUCAGAGCAAACAUCAUCAAGAUAAGGAAGUCUUUUUUUUUUCUUUUUCUCAAAAAGAUCAAGUCACUCUUAUCUUGUAGGUAAUUUCCUGCAGCCCAUAUUACAGGAAUUAAUUCCCUCAUCCAUUCUUCUCAACACAGACUGGUAUUUUCAGACCAAAGUACUGCAAGAUAGUUGUCCUAAGACACUGCUCUUCAUUAAAAAGGGCAUUUUCUUGCCUAUUAGGUAGUGAAACAAAUAGACAGAUUUUCAGAUAUGGCAGCAGUCAGCUCCCAUUGAGAACAGGAGAUGUGUCCCCUCUCCCAGUGAGAAACAAGAAGAUUUCUGCCCAUUUUUCUCACCCCUUUCUCUUUUCUCUCCCCAGUACAUUAUAUGUUCACCAAGAACAGCAGCAAAUGUCUUCAGCUGUUCUACAGCCAAUGGAGAUUUCCCUGUGCACUUGAAUGGAAAUGAAGCUUCUGCUAGCAAGUGUUCCUUUCCAGAUUCAGUCAUUGUAAAGCAGUGCAGAAGGAGGUGCAGUGGUGUGAGCUCUGAGGCCACAUUGGCUGCUGAGGAGCACGGAGCCGGGAAGAGUUCACUCGCUGACAGUGAAUCCCAAGGUUUGACAGUGAUAACCUACAGCUAGAAAUCUCCAGUCCGAAAUGCAGCCUGCCACUUAAUUCAUCCAGUGCUCCUCAUAUCUUGGGUAAUGGGGCAGCUUAAGGUGCUGGUAUUUGUAUUCCUGAAAUACCCAGAGGCCCCAACUAGAGCUGUACCACCAUCUGCCAAGUGCUUUGCAGAUAAGAAGGAUGAGUAAGGCCUUUUCUAU
rnacentral:lncRNA from 1 species